rnacentral:rRNA from 1 species
GACUGCGACCGCGUCGCCCUGAAUGCGCCCGAUCUCAUCGCAUCUCGGAAGCUAAGCGGGGUUGAGUACGCUUUGUACUCCGAUGGUAAACUGCGUGAAAAUUCCAGCUGUUGUGGGUG